rnacentral:misc_RNA from 1 species
GGCCAAUUUCCUUCUUUCUGGACAAAAACAACAGAUCUUUGAUGACAGACUCAUAAGCAUAUUAGCAACUUCUUCUAACAGUAAGAAUUUCAAAGUUUAUCAUAAUGAAACCAACAGCUAGUGAGUCCAGAUUGGAAUUAUCUUAAUACUAGAGAUUACUGCAUUAAUCAUGGAUUGGUGAAGCAAUUCUCUGCUUCAGAGUACUGAUUAAUUCAUACUUCUGGUGUUCCAUUGUUUAUCAUUAAAGAUCAGGUCAUUUCGUGCAUUCAUUAGCUUCCAUGCCAGGAACGGCCAGUCCGAGAAGAGAGCCAUCAACGAGAAGAGCUUUCAGAUUUUCCAUCAGUGCUUCCUAUUUCAGGAUGCCUAAACAUAUUCAGCUCUCAAAUUCAGACGCCAAGAAAACUACGCUUCUCUUGCUGACCAUUAGCCCCUUAAACCCUCUUCCACCCCAAGUGGCCCAGACUUUUCAAAAAUUUAUACCAUCAUCAGAUGUAAAAUCAAAGGCAGUUCCUUGAUCUUGAAUGGUAGAACAAGGACUUGUACCUGGAGCCAGCUAGAUCCUGCACAAUUGCUAGGAGGCCACAGAACAGAAUAGGAAACUCUUUUACCAAGCUCAUGAUGUCUCUAUAAUGAAGAAGAACAAUAUGUUCACAGGCCCUGCCAAGAAAAAUAACAUGUGAGCAAAUUCAGCACAAUAACAAUACAAAGCUUGGCAUUUCCAACCUACUCAUAAAAAAAAAUGUCAAUAUGCAGGAGACAAAUGGCUAAACACAUAAAAUAGAAAUACAAAUUAAGCUACUA